rnacentral:rRNA from 1 species
UACGAAGGGUGCAAGCGUUACUCGGAAUUACUGGGCGUAAAGCGUGCGCAGGUGGUGAGUUAAGUCUGAUGUGAAAUCCCCGGGCUCAACCUGGGAAUGGCAUUGGAUACUGGCUCGCUAGAGUGCGGUAGAGGGUGGUGGAAUUCCCGGUGUAGCAGUGAAAUGCGUAGAGAUCGGGAGGAAUAUCUGAGGAGAAGGCGGCCACCGGGACCAACACUGACACUGAGGCACGAAAGCGUGGGGAGCAAACAGG